CAGUGGCGAACGGGUGAGUAACACGUGGGCAAUCUGCCCUGCACUCUGGGACAAGCCCUGGAAACGGGGUCUAAUACCGGAUAUUACCUUCCUCUGCAUGGGGGUUGGUGGAAAGCUCCGGCGGUGCAGGAUGAGCCCGCGGCCUAUCAGCUUGUUGGUGGGGUAAUGGCCUACCAAGGCGACGACGGGUAGCCGGCCUGAGAGGGCGACCGGCCACACUGGGACUGAGACACGGCCCAGACUCCUACGGGAGGCAGCAGUGGGGAAUAUUGCACAAUGGGCGAAAGCCUGAUGCAGCGACGCCGCGUGAGGGAUGACGGCCUUCGGGUUGUAAACCUCUUUCAGCAGGGAAGAAGCGAAAGUGACGGUACCUGCAGAAGAAGCACCGGCUAACUACGUGCCAGCAGCCGCGGUAAUACGUAGGGUGCGAGCGUUGUCCGGAAUUAUUGGGCGUAAAGAGCUCGUAGGCGGCUUGUCACGUCGGUUGUGAAAGCCCGGGGCUUAACCCCGGGUCUGCAGUCGAUACGGGCAGGCUAGAGUUCGGUA
rnacentral:rRNA from 1 species